rnacentral:rRNA from 1 species
UACAGAGGUCCCAAGCGUUGUUCGGAUUCACUGGGCGUAAAGGGUGCGUAGGCGGUCUGGUAAGUCUGAUGUGAAAUCUCUGGGCUCAACCCAGAAAUGGCAUUGGAUACUAUUCGGCUUGAGGUCUGGAGGGGGGACUGGAAUUCCGCGUGUAGCAGUGAAAUGCGUAGAUAUGCGGAGGAACACCGAUGGCGAAGGCAAUCCCCUGGGCCUGCACUGACGCUCAUGCGCAAAAGCGUGGGGAGCAAACAGG